GGACCCUUAGCUCAGUUGGUUAGAGCAGACGGCUCAUAACCGUCCGGUCGCAGGUUCGAGUCCUGCAGGGUCCA
rnacentral:tRNA from 9 species